rnacentral:misc_RNA from 1 species
GCAAGAUCUACAUCCUCUCCAACCUUGGAUUUGCAGAACCAAGCAUGCUACUCAUUCUCGUAUUUCUCCUAAAUGCCUCACUGCUGAAGAGGGACUCGGGAGUGUUAAGCAAACGGUGGAACUUAAGGACCAUAUGUUAUGUCUUCCUCAACUGCAUCCCGAUUUUUGUCGUGCAAAUGGCUAUCGUUUUUGUUGGUCCCAGAUUCAAUUCUGA